rnacentral:rRNA from 1 species
UACAGAGGGUGCAAGCGUUAAUCGGAAUUACUGGGCGUAAAGCGUGCGUAGACGGUUGCGUAAGUCAGAUGUGAAAGCCCCGGGCUCAACCUGGGAAUUGCAUUUGAGACUGCGUAGCUAGGGUGCGGAAGAGGGAAGCGGAAUUUCCGGUGUAGCGGUGAAAUGCGUAGAGAUGUGGAGGAACACCGAUGGCGAAGGCAGCCCCCUGGGUCAAAACUGACGCUCAUGCACGAAAGCGUGGGGAGCAAACAGG